rnacentral:rRNA from 1 species
AGAGUUUGAUCCUGGCUCAGGAUGAACGCUAGCGGCAGGCCUAAUACAUGCAAGUCGAGGGGCAGCAGGAAUAGCAAUAUUUGCUGGCGACCGGCGCACGGGUGCGUAACACGUAUACAAUCUGCCUUUAACAGGGGGAUAGCCCGGAGAAAUCCGGAUUAAUACCCCAUAACACAGAAGAUGGCAUCAUUUUUUGUUGAAAGCUCCGGCGGUUAAAGAUGAGUAUGCGUCUGAUUAGCUAGUAGGUGAGGUAACGGCUCACCUAGGCGACGAUCAGUAGGGGAUCUGAGAGGAUUAACCCCCACACGGAUACUGAGACACGGAUCCGACUCCUACGGGAGGCAGCAGUAAGGAAUAUUGGACAAUGCCCGCAAGGGUGAUCCAGCCAUGCCGCGUGCAGGAAGACGGCCCUAUGGGUUGUAAACUGCUUUUACACCGGAGAAAACCCCCCUACGUGUAGGGGGCUGAUAGUAUGGUGAGAAUAAGCAUCGGCUAACUUCGUGCCAGCAGCCGCGGUAAGACGAAGGAUGCAAGCGUUAUCCGGAUUCAUUGGGUUUAAAGGGAGCGUAGGCGGCCCGAUAAGUCAGUGGUGAAAUCUCCUGGCUUAACUAGGAAAUUGCCAUUGAUACUGUUGGGCUUGAGUACAGUUGCCGUUGGCGGAAUAUGACAUGUAGUGGUGAAAUACAUAGAGAUGUCAUAGAACACCGAUUGCGAAGGCAGCUAACGAAACUGUAACUGACGCUGAGGCUCGAAAGUGCGGGGAUCAAACAGGAUUAGAUACCCUGGUAGUCCGCACUGUAAACGAUGAUUACUCGCUGCUGGGAGGUAACUUUCAGUGGCUUAGCGAAAGCGAUAAGUAAUCCACCUGGGGAGUACGCCGGCAACGGUGAAACUCAAAGGAAUUGACGGGGGCCCGCACAAGCGGAGGAGCAUGUGGUUUAAUUCGAUGAUACGCGAGGAACCUUACCAGGGCUUGAAAGUU